rnacentral:rRNA from 1 species
GACGAACGCUGGCGGCGUGCUUAACACAUGCAAGUCGAACGGAAAGGCCCUGCUUUUGUGGGGUGCUCGAGUGGCGAACGGGUGAGUAACACGUGAGUAACCUGCCCUUGACUUUGGGAUAACUUCAGGAAACUGGGGCUAAUACCGGAUAGGAGCUCCUGCUGCAUGGUGGGGGUUGGAAAGUUUCGGCGGUUGGGGAUGGACUCGCGGCUUAUCAGCUUGUUGGUGGGGUAGUGGCUUACCAAGGCUUUGACGGGUAGCCGGCCUGAGAGGGUGACCGGCCACAUUGGGACUGAGAUACGGCCCGGACUCCAACGGGAGGCAGCAGUGGGGAAUAUUGCACAAUGGGCGGAAGCCUGAUGCAGCAACGCCGCGUGCGGGAUGACGGCCUUCGGGUUGUAAACCGCUUUCGCCUGUGACGAAGCGUGAGUGACGGUAAUGGGUAAAGAAGCACCGGCUAACUCCGUG